ACAUUCAAAGUAAAAGGAAACUGGUAAAGUUAAUUUUAGUAAUAUAUUUCAUGUCGCCCAAUAGAUUCAAAUAUUAUCAUCUCAACAUGUAAUCAAUAUUAGAUCUGUAGGUAUUGUACACUGCUAUGUUACUAUUGAGAGAUUUUUACUGUCUACUGCCUCCCAGAAGUAUUUACAAUCUGGUUUCUAUUUUUCACUUUCAGUUCUUCUCAUCUGGGACUUAGCUGUGUUUCAAGGGCUCAUUGAACAAGCGUAGCUCGUGGCUAACAUAUUGCAAAGCACAGCCUACUGUGUCCUGGUUUUAUACAUUUUGUUCUAACACAGUCACAACAUUUUCUUCUGAAAGGCAGUACUUGCUGAACCUGUGGACAUCCUGAGAAAUGCAGCGUGCUGUCUCAACUCUGCAGCAUGAUCAACAGCACUGCUCAUUCGCCAGCAUGUGGCCCAGGUCAGGCUCAGCUCCUGAUCAGCCUCCUACAAAGAGGUGCCCAGUUCUGAAAGGCACACCUCACCCAUGGAGUAAUGAUAUCCCCAGCUCCUCACUUGCUUUUGUUAUGACCAAGCUGGAAUGACUCUUCAGGACUUUAAUCAUCCUUUAGCUGAAGAGAGCUGCACUCGGCAGGAAAAUGUGAUCCAUCCAUGUGGAGACAAAGUGACAUGAAGGCAUGCUGUGAUCCCACCGCACUUUCAGCAGAGAAAGAGCUCUGUCACACCAGGACACAUGCAGCAAGGACACAUCACUCUCCGAAGCCCCGCAGCACAGGUCACAGUGCCCUUAGCUCAGUAUUUUCAUUGAAAGACCACUUUUCCUCAAAUUGUGUUAAGAUGAAUGCUUUGGAUUUUUGAUUUGGGGUUUUAAUCUAUUUUCUUUUUUAUUUAGUAGUUGCAGGGGAUCCAUACAAAGGGGAUAUGUGUUAUUUAAAAUCUGCAAACAUUUAAAUAUUAAAAUAAUUUAAAUCAA